GACGAACGCUGGCGGCGUGCUUAACACAUGCAAGUCGAACGAUGAAGCCGGAGCUUGCUCUGGUGAAUUAGUGGCGAACGGGUGAGUAACACGUGAGUAACCUGCCCUUGACUCUGGGAUAACUGCGGGAAACUGUAGCUAAUACCGGAUACGACCCUCGGAGGCAUCUCCUGGGGGUGGAAAGAAUUUCGGUCAAGGAUGGACUUGCGGCCCAUCAGCUAGUUGGUGAGGUAAAGGCUCACCAAGGCGACGACGGGUAGCCGGCCUGAGAGGGUGACCGGCCACACUGGGACUGAGACACGGCCCAGACUCCUACGGGAGGCAGCAGUGGGGAAUAUUGCACAAUGGGCGCAAGCCUGAUGCAGCAACGCCGCGUGAGGGAUGACGGCCUUCGGGUUGUAAACCUCUUUUAGCAGGGAAGAAGCGAAAGUGACGGUACCUGCAGAAAAAGCACCGGCUAACUACGUGCCAGCAGCCGCGGUAA
rnacentral:rRNA from 1 species